AUUGAACGCUGGCGGCAGGCCUAACACAUGCAAGUCGAACGGUAACAGGAAGAAGCUUGCUUCUUUGCUGACGAGUGGCGGACGGGUGAGUAAUGUCUGGGAAACUGCCUGAUGGAGGGGGAUAACUACUGGAAACGGUAGCUAAUACCGCAUAACGUCGCAAGACCAAAAAGGGGGACCUUCGGGCCUCUUGCCAUCGGAUGUGCCCAGAUGGGAUUAGCUAGUAGGUGGGGUAACGGCUCACCUAGGCGACGAUCCCUAGCUGGUCUGAGAGGAUGACCAGCCACACUGGAACUGAGACACGGUCCAGACUCCUACGGGAGGCAGCAGUGGGGAAUAUUGCACAAUGGGCGCAAACCUGAUGCAGCCAUGCCGCGUGUAUGAAGAAGGCCUUCGGGUUGUAAAGUACUUUCAGCGGGGAGGAAGGGAGUAAAGUUAAUACCUUUGCUCAUUGACGUUACCCGGAGAAGAAGCACCGGCUAACUACGUG
rnacentral:rRNA from 1 species